UGGGGAAUUUUGGACAAUGGGCGCAAGCCUGAUCCAGCAAUGCCGCGUGCAGGAUGAAGGCCUUCGGGUUGUAAACUGCUUUUGUACGGAGCGAAAAGGCUUCUUCUAAUACAGGAGGCUCAUGACGGUACCGUAAGAAUAAGCACCGGCUAACUACGUGCCAGCAGCCGCGGUAAUACGUAGGGUGCAAGCGUUAAUCGGAAUUACUGGGCGUAAAGCGUGCGCAGGCGGUUAUGUAAGACAGUCGUGAAAUCCCCGGGCUCAACCUGGGAACUGCGAUUGUGACUGCAUAGCUAGAGUACGGUAGAGGGGGGUGGAAUUCCGCGUGUAGCAGUGAAAUGCGUAGAUAUGCGGAGGAACACCGAUGGCGAAGGCAGCCCCCUGGACCUGUACUGACGCUCAUGCACGAAAGCAUGGGGAGCAAACA
rnacentral:rRNA from 1 species